UAGGGAAUAUUGGGGCAAUGGGGCGCAAGCCUGACCCAGCGACGCCGCGUGAGGGAAGAAGGUCUUCGGAUUGUAAACCUCUUUCAGCAGGGAAGAAGCAAGUGACGGUACCUGCAGAAGAAGUCACGGCUAACUACGUGCCAGCAGCCGCGGUAAUACGUAGGUGGCGAGCGUUAUCCGGAAUUACUGGGUGUAAAGGGUGUGUAGGCGGGAGAGCAAGUCAGAUGUGAAAAUUGUGGGCUCAACUCACAACCUGCAUUUGAAACUGUUUUUCUUGAGAGUGGGAGAGGUAAAUGGAAUUCCUGGUGUAGUAGUGAAAUGCGUAGAUAUCAGGAGGAACACCGGUGGCGAAGGCGGUUUACUGGACCACAACUGACGCUGAGACACGAAAGCGUGGGGAGCAAACAGGAUUAGAUACCCUGGUAGU
rnacentral:rRNA from 1 species